AGUAAAGGUUGGACAUGUUUGCUAGUCUACCUUGCCACGAAGAACAGAGGUUGACACACAGGGACUUUCCAAUUAUCCAGCAGUGGUACUGUUCCUUUACCCUCUCUUCGAUUUUUGAGAAAGUAAUCAUGUUGGGAGUCUGGCUCUCGAGAUUCGGAGGGCGGUGCUUCUUCGAUUUUGGAGCAAGCAAUCUUGUUGGGAGUGUUUUCUCGAAUGUGAGUAAAGGUUGGGCAUGUUUGCUAGUCUACCUUGCCACGAAGCACAGAGGUUGACACACAGGGACUUUCCAAUUAUCCAGCAAUGGUACUGUUCCUUUACC
rnacentral:lncRNA from 1 species